rnacentral:lncRNA from 1 species
AGGGGUGCUACUCAGAAAGAGAGAGAUGGUGUGGAUGUGGGCCUACAGCAAAAUAACAAUUAUUUUGGAGUUUGCUUUUUCAGGUUUACAGAAUCUUCAGUUACCAGUCUCCAGUGAUCAAGGGCAUCUUCCAGCAUGGCUCUUCGAGGUGGCCCUUCCCCAAAGAACCUUUACAUCCUGUCGCAUGCAAGAAGUGUAGCAACUGUGCAAGUUUCUGAAAAAGCACUUUCUAACCUUGGGAUCCUGGGUGAGGACGGCGUCCUCUGCUGCCUGAUUGGUGUGUCACUCUGAUGGUCUGAGUCUGCAGAAGGCCCACACUUCCAUGUCAGAGCUGUGGGCGUCUGGGUGACAUCAUCCUUAUUCCGAAAGGCAGAAUCCAGUGGCGCAGAGAC